rnacentral:rRNA from 1 species
UACGUAGGGGGCUAGCGUUGUCCGGAAUCAUUGGGCGUAAAGCGCGUGUAGGCGGCCCGGUAAGUCCGCUGUGAAAGUCGGGGGCUCAACCCUCGGAAGCCGGUGGAUACUGUCGGGCUCGAGUACGGAAGAGGCGAGUGGAAUUCCUGGUGUAGCGGUGAAAUGCGCAGAUAUCAGGAGGAACACCUAUUGCGAAGGCAGCUCGCUGGGACGUUACUGACGCUGAGACGCGAAAGCGUGGGGAGCAAACAGG